GCUAGGAAGAGGAAGAAAGAGAGGGCCUAAGAGCGGUGGGAAUGAGAACAUAGAGGAAAUCCUAACUUAUUGAUUCUUCAUCACUUGUGUUGUGAUGGAAAUUUUGUUUGGUAUUUCCCGAUGCCUCUCAUUCCUAUCGUUCUUAUGCACUCCUUCCUCUUCCUUCUUGUU
rnacentral:pre_miRNA from 2 species